rnacentral:pre_miRNA from 1 species
AUAAUACUCCCUCCAUCCGAAAUUACUUGUCAUCAAAAUGGAUGUGUCUAGAACUAAAAUACAUCUAGAUACAUCCAUUUCAACGACAAGUAUUUUUGGACGGAGGGAGUAGUAG